AUUCGUGAAAAUUUCCUUUUCAUUUAUUCAGCAUGUUAACCACAGGACAUCCCCAUUUAUGGUCAAAGUCUGAGAACUCUUACUGUUCUUGUUGAAUCAAUAAAUGGGAGAAAAAUGGUUUCAAUUUUUUUGUAAUUUGCACAAUUCAGGAUUUGCACCGUCUCAUCUUGUUUUCUCAUAUUCUCUGCCUACUUGCUCUCGUGUUGGGAGUUUGGUCCACAUGGCGUGGUUUAAGUACAAAGGUGACAUUUUUGCCAUCAUUUCUGCUCAAAAAUGACUCAUCAGAUAAAAUGCAUCGCUCUGGAAACCUGCUGACUGCAUUCCGGUGCUACUUUUGUUGUUUUGACUUUCAAAACAAAAGAUUUAAGUUUAUAAAAUGCCUUUGCACGUUUCUCCACACCUUAACUGGAAAAUAAAUGAGAUUACAGAGUGACCAGCUUUGAGGAUCAUCAUUAGGAGAACCCCCGCUGUGAUCUGAACGUUUGGAUAGACGUCCAGCUAAACUUCAACCAACUGAAUAUCUGAUGCCACAGAUUGGAUUCUACUCCCAACAGGAGGCCUACAGCUCACCACUUUAACACGGCAUACGUGACCAAACGUAUUCGCUGAAGCAGACAGUCACAACUGUCAGAUAGAAUAUGUACAUCCAGUACAAAGUGUGGAAUCAGAAUACUAUUACUAGUCAAAUAUCCAGGUCUACAUGAGUAUUGUUAUCUUCCUGUGACAAAUGGAAGUUGAUUUUUCAUGUAAAAAAAAAAAAAACAAAAAUGCCAGAAAAAUAAAUAUUUAAAAAUAAAAAUAAAA